rnacentral:rRNA from 1 species
GCGUGCUUAACACAUGCAAGUCGAGUGCGCGUCCGUAGCAAUACGGAUGGCGCACGGCGCACGGGUGAGUAACACGUGGGCAACCUGCCCUUUGGAUGGGGGACACCCCCGCGAAAGCGGGACUAAUACCGCAUGAUAUUCCGAGGACUUCGGUCUUUGGACUCAAAGCCCGCAAGGGCGUCUAAGGAGGGGCCCGCGCCCGAUUAGCUAGUUGGUGAGGUAACGGCUCACCAAGGCUUUGAUCGGUAGCCGGUCUGAGAGGAUGGCCGGCCACACUGGAACUGAGACACGGUCCAGACUCCUACGGGAGGCAGCAGUGGGGAAUAUUGCGCAAUGGGCGAAAGCCUGACGCAGCGACGCCGCGUGGGGGAUGAAGCUUUUCGGAGUGUAAACCCCUUUCGACCCGGACGAAUGACCCGCAAGGGUUUGACGGUACGGGUAUAAGAAGCCCCGGCUAACUACGUGCCAGCAGCCGCGGUAAUACGUAGGGGGCCAGCGUUGCUCGGAAUUACUGGGCGUAAAGGGUUCGUAGGCGGUGCGGCAAGUUGGGAGUGAAAUCUCUGGGCUUAACCCAGAGGCUGCUUUCUAAACUGCCGCGCUCGAGUGCGAGAGAGGUCAGUGGAAUUGCAGGUGUAGCGGUGAAAUGCGUAGAUAUCUGCAGGAACACCCGUGGUGAAGGCGGCUGACUGGAUCGCAACUGACGCUGAGGAACGAAAGCUAG